GAUCAUGGCUCAGGACGAACGCUGGCGGCGUGCCUAAUACAUGCAAGUCGAGCGAAGUUUUUCUGGUGCUUGCACUAGAAAAACUUAGCGGCGAACGGGUGAGUAACACGUAAAGAACCUGCCUCAUAGACUGGGACAACUAUUGGAAACGAUAGCUAAUACCGGAUAACAGCAUUAACUGCAUGGUUGAUGUUUGAAAGUUGGUUUUGCUAACACUAUGAGAUGGCUUUGCGGUGCA
rnacentral:rRNA from 1 species